rnacentral:misc_RNA from 1 species
GAUGAAGAACGUAGCGAAAUGCGAUACGUAAUGUGAAUUGCAAAUUCAGUGAAUCAUCGAGUCUUUGAAGGCACAUUGCGCCCCCUGGUAUUCCGGGGGGCAUGCCUGUCCGAGCGUCAUUGCUGCCCUCAAGCACGGCUUGUGUGUUGGGCCCCGUCCUCCGAUCCCGGGGGACGGGCCCGAAAGGCAGCGGCGGCACCGCGUCCGGUCCUCGAGCGUAUGGGGCUUUGUCACCCGCUCUGUAGGCCCGGCCGGCGCUUGCCGAUCAACCCAAAUUUUUAUCCAGGUUGACCUCGGAUCAGGUAGGGAUACCCGCUGAACUUAAGCAUAUCAAUAAGCGGAGGA